UCAGCAAUAAGGAUAUGAUUUUAAGUAAGGUUUGCUCUAUUUCCUUGAUUCAGAUUUUGAGAGUUCAUCUCUUCAGUCCUUCUUUGAGCUGCUUUUCUUCUUCGUUGUCGAAAAGCCUUUCAAUCUCAAGGUUUAUGGGGAGUAAAUUUGUAAUUCGAUCAAUACUCAUCAACACCUUAAACAAACACAAAAAAAUUGAAUAAGUUAAAAUUGAAUAGAAAAAAAUAAAAAAAAUAGAAAAACCAAAAUACAAAAUUAACAAAUUC
rnacentral:lncRNA from 1 species